GCUCAGUAACUCUUAUUUUAUUUGAUGUAUUAGGAUUAUAACUAUGUUAAAUUAUAGAUAACAAUAAUACAAUAAGAAUAAGAUCUAUCAGUUAGUUGUUAAGGUAAUGGCUUAACAAGACUAUGACGGAUAACGGUAUUACUUUGUAAUAUUCCGGAGAAGGAGCCUGAGAGAUUGCUACUAAGUCUAAGGAUUGCAGCAGGGGCGAAACUUGACCUAUGAUAUGAUAUUGAGGCAGUUAUGAGUAGUAUUUUUAAUUAUUGUAGUAUUGUAAGUAUAUACUACAAGAUAAAUCGGAGGGCAAAUCGAGUGCCAGCAGCCGCGGUAAUACUUGUUCCGAUAGUGUGUAUGAUGAUUGAUGCAGUUAAAAAGUCUGUAGUUUAUUAUUAAUAAGCAUUGUGAGGUAUAUUGUAUGGUUAGGAGAGAGAUGAAAUGUGAUAACCCUAACUGGAUGAACAGAAGCGAAAGCUAUAUACUUAAAUGUUUUAUUAGAACAAGGACGUAAGCUAGAGGAUCGAAGAUGAUUAGAUACCAUUGUAGUUCUAGCAGUAAACUAUGUUAAAUCAUAGAUACAUUAUUAAUAUGUAUUUAUGUAAAGAAAUUAAGAUUAUAUUGACUCUGGGGAUAGUAUGAUCGCAAGAUUGAAAAUUAAAGAAAUUGACGGAAGAAUACCACAAGGAGUGGA
rnacentral:rRNA from 1 species